rnacentral:lncRNA from 1 species
GUCGCUCGGUACUACAACUCCAGAGUUCAGAAUAAGGUCUUCAGAGUCAGCGACUUAGUUUUAUGCAGAGCAGAAAUUUCUCAACCUGACAAACAUGGCAAGCUAGCCCCAAAUAGGAGGGUCCAUAUCAAAUAGAUGAAAUCAUCAAGCUAGAAACCUACCGACUGAAUCAACUAGAUGGAACCCCACUCUUCCGAUCAUAAAAUUUGAAAAAUCUGAGUGUACUAUCAGUA